AUUGAACGCUGGCGGCAGGCCUAACACAUGCAAGUCGAGCGGAGCGGCGGACGGGUGAGUAAUGCCUAGGAAUCUGCCUGGUAGCGGGGGAUAACGUCCGGAAACGGGCGCUAAUACUGCAUACUUUCAGAUGAGCCUAGGGCGGAUUAGCUAGUGGGUGGGGUAAAGGCCUACCAAGGCGACGAUCCGUAACUGGUCUGAGAGGAUGAUCAGUCACACUGGAACUGAGACACGGUCCAGACUCCUACGGGAGGCAGCAGUGGGGAAUAUUGGACAAUGGGCGAGAGCCUGAUGCAGCCAUGCCGCGUGUGUGAAGAAGGUCUUCGGAUUGUAAAGCACUUUAAGUUGGGAGGCGGUACCAACAGAAUAAGCACCGGCUAACUUCGUGCCAGCAGCCGCGGUAAUAC
rnacentral:rRNA from 1 species